GACGAACGCUGGCGGCGUGCUUAACACAUGCAAGUCGAACGGAAAGGCCCUGCUUUUGUGGGGUGCUCGAGUGGCGAACGGGUGAGUAACACGUGAGUAACCUGCCCUUGACUUUGGGAUAACUUCAGGAAACUGGGGCUAAUACCGGAUAGGAGCUCCUGCUGCAUGGUGGGGGUUGGAAAGUUUCGGCGGUUGGGGAUGGACUCGCGGCUUAUCAGCUUGUUGGUGGGGUAGUGGCUUACCAAGGCUUUGACGGGUAGCCGGCCUGAGAGGGUGACCGGCCCCAUUGGGACUGGGUUCCGGCCCGAACUCUUACGGGGGGAAAAGGGGGGGAUAUUGCCCAAAGGGGCGGAGCCCUGAGGCGGCAACCCCGGGGGGGGAAUGACGGCCUUCGGGUGUAAACCCCCUUUCGCCUGGGACGAGGGGUGGGGGCCGGAAAGGGGAAAAAAACCCCCGGCAACCUCCGG
rnacentral:rRNA from 1 species